rnacentral:rRNA from 1 species
GUGGGGAAUUUUGGACAAUGGGGGCAACCCUGAUCCAGCCAUGCCGCGUGCGGGAAGAAGGCCUUCGGGUUGUAAACCGCUUUUAGCUGGGAAGAAAAGGACGAGGCUAAUACCUUCGUUUUUUGACGGUACCGGCAGAAUAAGCACCGGCUAACUACGUGCCAGCAGCCGCGGUAAUACGUAGGGUGCGAGCGUUAAUCGGAAUUACUGGGCGUAAAGCGUGCGCAGGCGGUUCGUUGUGUCUGUGGUGAAAUCCCCGGGCUUAACCUGGGAAUGGCCAUGGAAACUGGCGAGCUUGAGUGUGGCAGAGGGGGGUGGAAUUCCGCGUGUAGCAGUGAAAUGCGUAGAGAUGCGGAGGAACACCGAUGGCGAAGGCAGCCCCCUGGGCUAACACUGACGCUCAGGCACGAAAGCGUGGGGAGCAAACAGGAUUAGAAACCCCAGUAGUCC